rnacentral:rRNA from 1 species
UACGUAGGGGGCAAGCGUUGUCCGGAAUUAUUGGGCGUAAAGAGCUCGUAGGCGGCUUGUCGCGUCGAAUGUGAAAACUCGGGGCUCAACUCCGAGCUUGCAUUCGAUACGGGCAGGCUAGAGUUCGGUAGGGGAGACUGGAAUUCCUGGUGUAGCGGUGAAAUGCGCAGAUAUCAGGAGGAACACCGGUGGCGAAGGCGGGUCUCUGGGCCGAUACUGACGUGAGGAGCGAAAGCGUGGGGAGCGAACAGG